AACAACAAACACCAAAGCAAAAAAUUAAAACUUCCAUCAGUCAAAUUUUUUAGCCUUUCUCCUUUUCUUGAUAAGAUUUUUAAAAAAAAAAAUUUUAUUACUAUUAUUACUUUUUUGGUGGUGAGGAGUUUUCAAAUUGAACAUUAGCCAUCCCAUUUCACCUAUGGAUGUGGACUACAGGAAGUUGAUCCUAUCUCCUAAUGAAGAAAAGCCUUCCCAACAGCGAAAAUGAAGCUCAUUGGCAGGUGGUGAGGAGUCUUCAAAUUGAACAUUAGCCAUCCCAUUUCACCUAUGGAUGUGGACUACAGGAAGUUGAUCCUAUCUCCUAAUGAAGAAAAGCCUUCCCAACGGCGAAAAUGAAGCUCAUUGGCAGGUAUAAACACUUAAGUCAACAACAUAAGAGGUUCAAGCCCCAUUGUUAAAAUCAAUUUAUGUCUAUCAAGUGAUGGAGAAAUCUACAGAUGAUAUCCCUCGAUUAGAUGACAGACGAGCUCUAUCAUCAUAACGAGCAGAAUCAAGUAACUAUCACCAUGAGUCAAGAAACAAAGUUUAGGUGACUUCAGGUCAUGCCAACAGCAUAGCAUCCUGCAGACGGAUCCCAUUAUCACUAAGAUUUUCUUCAACUGGCUAAAAAUUACGGCUUUGCUGAUUUGAGCAGAUAGAAGCAGGCAAAUAAUGACAGUUGGCCGACAAUCGAAAGAAAAAAUUAGCGUUAACCAUUUGAAUUUUCAUGCAUCAUCAACAGGCUAUCUCAGAAGCAGAAAUCGGAAGCACCAAUUGUUC
rnacentral:lncRNA from 1 species